rnacentral:rRNA from 1 species
AGGGAUCAUUAUAGAGUUACCAAAACUCCCAAACCCAUGUGAACUUACCAGUUUGUUGCCUCGGCGGGUUCUGCCCCCUGGGUAGGCCUAAAGCCCGCCGAAGGUCAUUCUAAACUCUUGAAUUUAGUGACAAUCUGAGCGUUACUUUUUAAAUAAGUCAAAACUUUCAACAACGGAUCUCUUGGUUCUGGCAUCGAUGAAGAACGCAGCGAAAUGCGAUAAGUAAUGUGAAUUGCAGAAUUCAGUGAAUCAUCGAAUCUUUGAACGCACAUUGCGCCCAUUAGUAUUCUAGUGGGCAUGCCUAUUCGAGCGUCAUUUCAACCCUUAAGCCUAGCUUAGUGUUGGGAGCUUACGGAAGCGUAACUCCCUAAAGUCAGUGGCAGAGUCGGAUCGUCUCUCAGCGUAGUAAUUUUCACCUCGCUCUUGCAGUCGGUCAGUCGAUCGCCAUAAACCUUUUACUUUAAUGGUUGACCUCGGAUUAGGUAGGAAUACCCGCUGAACUUAAGCAUAUCAAUAAGCGGAGGAAAAGAAACCAACAGGGAUUGCCUCAGUAACGGCGAGUGAAGCGGCAACAGCUCAAAUUUGAAAUCUGGCCUAGCCCGAAUUGUAAUUUGCAGAGGAUGCUUUUGGUGCGGUACCUUCCGAGUUCCCUGGAACGGGACGCCAUAGAGGGUGAGAGCCCCGUACGGUUGGAUGCCUAGCCUUUGUAAAGCUCCUUCGACGAGUCGAGUAGUUCGGGAAUGCUGCUCAAAAUGGGAGGUAAAUUUCUUCUAAAGCUAAAUACCGGCCAGAGACCGAUAGCGCACAAGUAGAGUGAUCGAAAGACGAAAAGCACUUUGAAAAGAGGGUUAAAUAGCACGUGAAAUUGUUGAAAGGGAAGCGCUUAUGACCAGACUUUUUCCAUUCGGAUCAUCCGGUGUUCUCACCGGUGCACUUCGUUUGGUUGAGGCCAGCAUCGGUUUUAGUAGAGGGAUAAAGACUUCAGGAAUGUGGCUCUUCGGAGUGUUAUAGCCUGUUGUGUAAUACCUUUAGUGAGACCGAGGUACGCG